AUUGAACGCUGGCGGCAGGCCUAACACAUGCAAGUCGAACGGCAGCACAGAAGAGCUUGCUCUUUGGGUGGCGAGUGGCGGACGGGUGAGUAAUGUCUGGGAAACUGCCCGAUGGAGGGGGAUAACUACUGGAAACGGUAGCUAAUACCGCAUAACGUCGCAAGACCAAAGUGGGGGACCUUCGGGCCUCACACCAUCGGAUGUGCCCAGAUGGGAUUAGCUAGUAGGUGGGGUAAUGGCUCACCUAGGCGACGAUCCCUAGCUGGUCUGAGAGGAUGACCAGCCACACUGGAACGGAGACACGGUCCAGACUCCUACGGGAGGCAGCAGUGGGGAAUAUUGCACAAUGGGCGCAAGCCUGAGGCAGCCAUGCCGCGUGUAUGAAGAAGGCCUUCGGGUUGUAAAGUACUUUCAGCGGGGAGGAAGGCGGUGAGGUUAAUAACCUCGCCGAUUGACGUUACCCGCAGAAGAAGCACCGGCUAACUCCGUGCCAGCAGCCGCCGUAA
rnacentral:rRNA from 1 species